UACACUCCUACGGGAGGCAGCAGUGGGGAAUAUUGCACAAUGGGCGCAAGCCUGAUGCAGCCAUGCCGCGUGUGUGAAGAAGGCCUUCGGGUUGUAAAGCACUUUCAGCGGGGAGGAAGGCAAUGCGGUUAAUAACCGUGUUGAUUGACGUUACCCGCAGAAGAAGCACCGGCUAACUCCGUGCCAGCAGCCGCGGUAAUACGGAGGGUGCAAGCGUUAAUCGGAAUUACUGGGCGUAAAGCGCACGCAGGCGGUCUGUCAAGUCGGAUGUGAAAUCCCCGGGCUCAACCUGGGAACUGCAUUCGAAACUGGCAGGCUUGAGUCUUGUAGAGGGGGGUAGAAUUCCAGGUGUAGCGGUGAAAUGCGUAGAGAUCUGGAGGAAUACCGGUGGCGAAGGCGGCCCCCUGGACAAAGACUGACGCUCAGGUGCGAAAGCGUGGGGAGCAAACAGGAUUAGAUACCCCUGUAGUCCCAUG
rnacentral:rRNA from 1 species